rnacentral:rRNA from 1 species
UGCACACAGGUGCUGCAUGGCUGUCGUCAGCUCGUGUCGUGAGAUGUUGGGUUAAGUCCCGCAACGAGCGCAACCCACGUCCUUAGUUGCCAUCAUUCAGUUGGGCACUCUAGGGAGACUGCCGGUGAUAAGCCGCGAGGAAGGUGUGGAUGACGUCAAGUCCUCAUGGCCCUUACGGGAUGGGCUACACACGUGCUACAAUGGCGGUGACAGAGGGACGCGAAACCGCGAGGUUGAGCAAAUCCCCAAAAGCCGUCUCAGUUCGGAUUGCACUCUGCAACUCGGGUGCAUGAAGGCGGAAUCGCUAGUAAUCGUGGAUCAGCACGCCACGGUGAAUACGUUCCCGGGCCUUGUACACACCGCCCGUCACACCAUGGGAGUUGGUCUUACCCGACGGCGCUGCGCCAACCGCAAGGAGGCAGGCGAC